UACAGAGACUGCAAGCGUUAUUCGGAUUCACUGGGCGUAAAGGGUGCGCAGGCGGCCAAGUGUGUGAGGCGUGAAAGCCCGGGGCUUAACCCCGGAAUUGCACCUCAAACUAGAUGGCUAGAGCAUUGGAGAGGGUAGCAGAAUUCAUGGUGUAGCAGUGAAAUGCGUAGAUAUCAUGAGGAAUACCAGAGGCGAAGGCGGCUACCUGGACAAUUGCUGACGCUCAGGCACGAAAGCGUGGGGAGCAAAAGGG
rnacentral:rRNA from 1 species